rnacentral:tRNA from 1 species
GGGGAUGUAGUUCAGUGGCAGAGCAUUUACAUAGCAUGCAUAAGGCCCUGGGUUCAGUUCCCACUAUCGCCA